rnacentral:rRNA from 1 species
UACGAAGGGGGCUAGCGUUGCUCGGAAUCACUGGGCGUAAAGCGCACGUAGGCGGCUUUUUAAGUCAGGGGUGAAAUCCUGGAGCUCAACUCCAGAACUGCCUUUGAUACUGGGAAGCUUGAGUCCGGGAGAGGUGAGUGGAACUCCGAGUGUAGAGGUGAAACUCGUAGAUAUUCGGAAGAACACCAGUGGCGAAGGCGGCUCACUGGCCCGGUACUGACGCUGAGGUGCGAAAGCGUGGGGAGCAAACAGG